rnacentral:rRNA from 1 species
GACGAACGCUGGCGGCGUGCUUAACACAUGCAAGUCGAACGGAGUGCUCAUGACAGAGGUUUCGGCCAAUAGAUUGAGUUACUUAGUGGCGGACUGGUGAGUAACGCGUGAGGAACCUGCCUUUCAGAGGGGGACAACAGUUGGAAACGACUGCUAAUACCGCAUGACGCAUGACUGGGGCAUCCCGGACAUGACCAAAGUAUUUUAUCGCUAGAAAGAUGGCCUCGCGUCUGAUUAGAUAGUUGGCGGGUAACGCCCACAGUCGACGAUCAGC